rnacentral:lncRNA from 1 species
UUUUUUUUUUUUUCAGAGAAAGAAUUCCUUCCUCCUUCAAAGACUAAAUACUCCUUGAUAUGGUUCGACUCUGUUUCCCCACCCAAAUCUCACUUCAAAUUUAAUUCCAGUAAUCCCCACAUGUCAAAGGUGGGACCAGGCAGAGGUAAUUUGCUCAUGGGUACAGUUUCCCCCAUUCUAUUCUCAUGAUAGUGAGUGAGUUCUCAAGAGAUCUAUCUCAUGGUUUUAUAAGGGGCUCUUUCCUUUUCGCUUGGCACUUCUCUUUCCUGCUGCCUUGUGAAGAAGGUGCCUUGCUUCCCCUUCACCUUCUGACAUGAUUGUAAGCUUGCUUAUGUCUCCCCAGCCAUGCUGAACUGUGAGUCGAUUAAACCUCUUUCCUUUAUAAAUUAUCCAGUCUUGGGCAGUUCUUUAUAACAGCAUGAAAAUGUGUUAAUACACUCCUUUACUUAUAUUUUAAUAUUCUUCAUAUAAUCCCAUCCAUUAUCUCAAAACUUUAAUUACUUAACCACUUUCUGUUUUUUCCAAGUUGGCUAAAGUCUUAGAUCAUCUUCUUGGAAACAACAACAAUAACAAGUAAUAAAAUAGAGAACCACAACUUUAUCACUUUGAGAUAGUCUUUUACCAUGCAUUAGAAAUGUAUGACUUUUUUUUUAACCUCAAGUUUCUCGCCAUUCACUGGAUUUUUACUCCCAACCUGUUCUGACCACAAUCUCUCACAGGUUCAAAACCUUAAAGAAAAUAAAAAUUACCUUUCCAAUGUGGAAACAUCCUAAUAUCCUAACAUAUGAGCAAAUGUGUUAAUAGAAAAAAAGAGGUACGUAAUAUUUAACAGCAAAUACUCACAAAUAUACACUAUCCAUUUACUUUUCUUCACAUUUUUGUCAUUAUCGUUCAUUGCUGACCACCUCAACACUUUUGCAAUGGAAGGCUGAUCUUUUCCUCUGUAGUCAUAAUAUCUUAUUCUUCAUUUUGACCUCUGAAGUCUUUCAAUAUGUUGUUGCCUGGCUCUAUAUGCACCUCUUAUCUCUUACACAUGGGUAUACAUCUUUGGUUAUUCACUGUAAUAAGCCCAAUUAUAAUGUAAGUUGCUUCCAAACCUAACACUUUACUCCUGAUUUUUUAUUUUUUAUUUCAGUCAAUGUCCAACUGCUACCCAGCACAAACAACUGUACUACACUAAUUUAAUCAAAUUCCCCAAACUAGUAUCAACCAUUUAUGCCCCCACUUACCCACAGCAAUCAAUCUCUACUAUGAAUGCCGACAGUACUCCUAAUGAUUUCCCAACUUUCUGGGUAAAAAUUGAAGCAAUCACUUGGAAAUAAAAAACUACUUUGUUUUUUCUAUUCUUUCUUCCCUUUGUUCCUCCAUAUUUCUCUACCCCUUCUGUCAUCACAGAUCCUCAUCACUUAUGCCUAAACUACUACAUUGUAUUUCUGCAAAUAGUCCUAACCACUCUUUAGUCAUAAACUUUGCCAUGAACUUUUAAGAAUGGAUUUACAAAUUGUGAGAUAUUACUAGCAGUCACCCAGUUUGGUUCUUCCUUUACACCUGGACAUAGGGAAGAGUUUACUUGCCAGCACACAUGAACAAAACAAUAUGCUUAGUUUAUG